rnacentral:rRNA from 1 species
AUACGUAGGGGGCAAGCGUUAUCCGGAUUUACUGGGUGUAAAGGGCGCGUAGGCGGCGCUUCAAGUCGUCUGUCAAAUGGGAGGGCUUAACCCUUUUUCGCAGACGAAACUGGAGAGCUUGAGAAGCAGAGAGGCAAACAGAAUUCCUGGUGUAGCGGUGAAAUGCGUAGAUAUCAGGAAGAAUACCAGUGGCGAAGGCGGUUUGCUGGCUGCAUACUGACGCUGAAGCGCGAAAGCCAGGGGAGCAAACGGGAUUAGAUACCCCGGUAGUCCUGGCAGUAAACGAUGUAUGCUGGGUGUGAGACUAGCGAUAGUUUCGUGCCGAAGUUAACGCGAUAAGCAUACCGCCUGGGGAGUACGGUCGCAAGAUUGAAACUCAAAGGAAUUGACGGGG